CCCUGCCCUUUGUACACACCGCCCGUCGCUACUACCGAUUGAAUGUUUUAGUGAGGCUUCUGGAUUGUUUAGGGCGCGCUGUUUCAGUGCACCUUUAGACGAGAAGUUAGUCAAACUUGAUCAUUUAG
rnacentral:rRNA from 1 species